GUACGUGUGUGUGUGUGUGUGUGUGUGUGUGUGUGUGUGUGUGUGUAGGUUACCAACGUACAGAAACGAUGUGUGUAACUCACUGCCUUUUGUUGAGUGUCCUUGAGAACUGUAUAUAAAUGCACCACCAAGCAUUUUGUGUUUUGUCUUUACUAUACUAUAUGUUUGAUAUUGUUCCCCAUUCAGUUGAUGUGUAAGUAGCCAGAGCUCUGUUCUGACAAUUCACUAGUCUACCUUCCAAGAACUGAACAUUGAUUGAGGGAAAAAAGGGUUUGUUUUAGGCAGAGGACACUGUUUCUGUAGAUCUCUUGAGCCUCACGCUGCAUUGAAGCCUAAUACAAGGAGAAAAACAAGCCCUUGAGCCAAAUUUUCCAGAGUUUGUCUUAUGAGUAAGGCACAAAUACACAUCGCAUGCAAAUCUGUGUAACAAUGCCUUGUCAUACUUUUAAUUGAAAGCAGCUUCUGGAGGGUGUUGUUUUAAGGGGAAGGGAAAGGGGAGUGCUUAAUAAGGACAAGUAACAUCUGGAACUCCAUAUAAAUGGGGAGCAGCAGCUAAGCAGUUUUUAAAUAAAAAGACAGUGGAGAAAGGCUUAAACUUAUAUGUGCACUCUGUGGUGCCUGUUUUUUAUUUAUUUUAAUUUUUCACUUAAAAGCAAACACACACACUUGCAUAUGUGAAGUCUGUGCCCCAAGAGCUAAGCAUUGAGAGCUGAGAAGGGAUAAUGAAUCUCCUCCUAUAUGGCUCUAGCAUUUAAAAGACGAGGGCUUGAGUUAGGAGCAACCAGUUCCUAAAAUGAGGUGAAGAGGGGAGGAGAGAAUGAAAGAUUCAUGCAGAUUCUUUUGGGUGAAGCAAAAGAACCACAGAAUCGUUUUGACUCAUUAGAUUAUCUAGCAGACUAUGCAGACUACACAAUAUUGCAUGGCGUGUUAACUUCACAAAGAUUUGUGGCAGAGUUGUUGUUCCCCAGAGAACACCAAUUGGCCAGGUUGGUCUUUGAGGUGUGAAUAUGCCCGAAGGCCAGUGUGUCUUGGAAGAUAUUAUGAUGGGGACGUCUGUUGUAAGCCAAAGGAGAACCAUAGUGUUCCCUUUCUCCAAAUUUGGAUCCGUGUAAAUUAAAACAGGAGUAAUUGCAAAGGAGACCUUAGAGGAAAGUCAAACAGAGUUGCUGGCCACAUUAUGCUGGGAGCAUGAGUUUCUUUUAUACUGUGGAGCAUGCCACAAGCUAUAUAUGUGUGUGUUAACUACUAUUUCUUCUCUGCCUUUUUUUUUGUUUUUUGGUCACUUUUUAAAUUUUUAAUAAACAUUUCCUCCUCACGCGUAUUGUGUGAAGAAGCUCUAUGUUUCUUACAGCCAAUAAAUCGUAACACCUGAAUGCUUCAACCAUCACUUCUUCGCAGCACUGGCAAAGCCGACCUUGGGCAUAGAGAAAAAAUGGGGGCAUGGCAAAGAAGAUAAGGGAACAGUGGAAUGUCUGUUGGCCAGUUGAGUUCAGAGAAAAGCCAUGAGGAAACUCCCUUGGUUCCAAAACAAAUGGAGCUUUAUUUAGGGUGGGGAUAAAACUAGGUUCUGAAAUGCAACACAGACUGUCCAAAAAGAUUGAGUGUUUCCAACUAGGCUAAUGAGAUGGGUAGUCAUCAAUCCUGAGGGUUUGCUACCGUUGCCCAUAAUAAUAAAUAAUAAUAAUAAAUUUAUUUCUUGCCUGCCUCUCCAUCCUGAUCGAGGCGGGGAACAACAUCACGAUAAAACCCAUCACAACUACAGGUGGCAGGAAUCUAAUGUCCAAGAGUUAAGAAUGUACACAGGGACCCAUGAUCCUUGCCUCUGUCUCAUAUUGGUUACAACAAAGAGUAUGGCCUUGCUAAGAAAGGGGAACAAAGGAUAGACUGGGGAAAGUGAUAUGUUUUUGCCACUUCCCCCACACUCUCUCUUCUCACUCGCCUUGGCUGUGCUUAUGCCCAGAAAUCAUGUCCACUUGCUGUUGUCUUGCUUGUUUAUCUGAAUGUUAAAGGAAUCUGUCAAAAUAACUUUUUUUUAAAUGAUAUAUGAAAACAAUUAAAACAACCAAAAAAGCUA